rnacentral:rRNA from 1 species
AGGACGAACGCUGGCGGUGUGCUUCACACAUGCAAGUCGAACGAGGUAGCAAUACCUAGUGGCGGACGGGUGAGUAACGCGUGGGAAUCUGCCUUUAGAUGGGGGAUAACGGGUCGAAAGACUCGCUAAUACCGCAUAUGACGAAAGUUGAAAGGAGUAAUCCGUCUAAAGAUGAGCCCGCGUCCGAUUAGCUAGUUGGUAGAGUAAAAGCCUACCAAGGCGACGAUCGGUAGCUGGUCUGAGAGGAUGAUCAGCCACAAUGGGACUGAGACACGGCCCAUACUCCUACGGGAGGCAGCAGUGGGGAAUUUUACGCAAUGGGGGAAACCCUGACGUAGCGACACCGCGUGAGCGAAGAAGCCCCUUGGGGUGUAAAGCUCUGUCAGCUGGAACGAAAAAAAUGACGGUACCAGCAGAGGAAGCAUCGGCUAACUACGUG